AGGUAGUGCAUCACAAUGAUGUCACAAGGGGGAAGAGGUCAAAAUAAAGACUUAACAGGAGAAUGAUGUCACUGAGAGAAACUGAAGUCACGAAGAGAAAUGUAAUGCAUUCUGCUUAGAACAUAUUCCAUUGGAGGUGCUGGGAAGACAUUUAAGUUAUACAGGAAGACAUUAAGAAGUCAAAAAAGAAGCUGGAAAUGCGGGGGUGAUGUCAAGAAAAGUCAACAAGGACACAAGAGUUCUGUGCAUCAACUAACACCAAGAAUGUAAAUUGCUAUGGAAGUACUAUGCCUAGAGAACCACAACGACUAUCCCCAUAAAGCUGAGGCCCAUUGAAAUGUUCUGGCCAAAGAAGAACUACGUAAAAGAAGACACAUACACCCUGGAUGACAAAGACCCCUUCUUCCCCACUGUCUCACUGCACCUCCUUUCCCUCCCUAUAAAAGACCUGCCACGUACCUAAGUUUCUGAAAAUGGAGCUUUGGGGAAGACAGCCCUUCCAUCUUCUGAGGAUCCCAGCCCUUGAACAAAACUUUCCACCACCACCACUUCCCACCAACUCCCUCUCUCAAGUACUGGGUUUCAGGUGGAGAAUUCUGGUUUGCUGUAUUUGUUGAAGCCACAAUCUGCAAAGUGAAAACCGCAUUUAAAUAAAUGUCUUGAAUGAUGGAAGAAAAUGGAAUAGGGCAUAUUGAUAGUGCCGGAGAUCAACUAUCCUAGGCAAGAGAGGAAGGCAUAGUGAGAGAGAAUAUCAGUGGUCGAACAUGAGAAAAGCAACAAACAGCUACAGUGCCAACAUCACCCCGGGGACUCAGCACACAAUCAAAGGCCUGGUCACAGCCUACUUGCCAUAUCUGUCCGUAUGUCCCACAGAGCCAAGGGCACGCUGCUGUGAUGCAUACCAACAGUGUUACUGAGAAACCCAACUGACCAAGCAGCCAACGUUGCCAGAGAUGUUACUUACUCAAGAUAUUAGUCCUUUGUCUGAGGAAGGAAAUUUCAUGAUGCAUUAGCGCCCUUAUAAGAAGAACAAAGGAUCAGAGCCAUCUUUCCCACCAAGUAAGGAGCAUAUAGCAAGAAGCUGCCAUCUACAAACCAGGAAGAGACCCUUCACCAGAACCUGACCAUGCCAGCACCUUGAUCUUGGACUUUCCAGCAUGUAGAACUGUGAGAAAUAAAUGUCUGU